rnacentral:misc_RNA from 1 species
UUUAAGGUGUAGCUCAUGACGUGUGUAAUAAAGCGUGCGUGCUAUUUUUUGGUGAAUCUGGAUAAAAAGAACCACAGUCAACUGCUUUCCCCCGCCAGGAACUGUGAGGAGUGUGAGGCAGCCAUGUCCAGCUACCAGGAUGACAACAGUAUUCCCUUGGUGGAUGAUGAUCCCUCAGUGGUGCUGGAUGAUGACAGAACAGCUGCCUCUGAAAUCUCUGACUCCACAAGGGGACAGAGCCUGGAGUCCAUUCCCUCCUCUUAUACUAAUGGUUCCACCAGUCCCCUCCACAACAGUGAGUUCCUCAGUCCCUUCAUAGGUAGUGGUCUGGAACCAGACAUUUCACCUGAUGAGCAGGAGGAGAAGGCCCGCCUUAUUGCUCAGGUGUUGGAGCUCCAAAAUACUCUUGAUGAUCUCUCCCAACGAGUGGACAGCGUCAAGGAGGAGAACCUGAAGUUGCGUUCUGAGAACCAGGUGUUGGGUCAGUACAUUGAGAACCUCAUGUCUGCCUCAUCAGUAUUCCAGUCCACCUCCCCCAAGACCAAGAAAAAUAAACAGUGGAGGCAGUUUGAGGCUUGAAGUGGUGGGAGAUUCUCGCAGAGGCACCUAACUCCCUCCUACUAGUGUUAUGGUCAGAGCGUCUUCUGUAGUGCCGUCAGGGGCAAGCCUGGACCUAUCUAGUCAACCCUGGCGUGUCACCCUGCGAGGCCCCACUCCACUGCAGCUCUCUCUCUCUCUUGUUAUUCUGUCCAUACUUCCUACCAAGUGUUACUCUAUCUUCCCUUCUGUACCUGUGGUGUUACUGUUGCCCCAUAGACACAGUAUGGCAUGUGCAAGGAUCACACUUAUCUUAAGUAAUGCAAGUAUGAAUACACUAUUUUUGUGAUCCUUAUACUGAUAUUCUUUCUUUGUAGUAAGAACACAAUAUUAUAUUAUGAUUAUAUGUUCACAUUGUAGCUCAUGUUAAAGAGUACUAUUCAUCUGCAGACAAUUGUGAUAAUGUAAAUCAUUGAGAAAACACGUACCUUCUUUUUAGAGUAGCUUGUUAAUAAUUUUCUCGUGGUCUUUGCUUCAAAAGCAAUUUCUGCUAUUCAUUCCAGAUUUUUACUCACAAAGGGAUUCUUUUUGACAUCACAUUCUCACCUCUGAGUGUUAUUUCAUUGUUUCAAAUGCUAUAUAAUUGUUCUUGCUGUAAUGCAAUAAGCUUUAAUGUACAGUUUGAUGUUUGAAGUGUUCAUAUUUAGGAUUACAAAAAAUCCCAGAUAUACUCAGCAAACGACUGCAGCUUCUUAACACGUGCAUGGCUCGGAUAGAGUAGUGUGUACAUAGUGACCGUGUUAGUUCUGUUCUGCAAGAAGCUUACCAUGAAAGUGACGUGAUAAGUAUCUAUACGAGUGGUUGUGGUUGAUGGUGGAAUAAAAACAUGAGAGGUUCCUGGCCUUGUUAAAUACUGGUGGUUGAGCAGCUGUGUGGUCAUUGCUGGGUUCUGUUACUGUGCCACAAGUGCAAAAAACAGUACAGGGGUAUACAUAGAUGUUAUUCAAAUUAUUGGCGUCACACUAAUUCAGCACUAUGGAGACGGAACCUAAAUGGACUUGUUUAUUUACAAGUAUGCUAGUGUGGCAGCAUAUACCUGGUAGCCUUACUCUAAAAUGUCAACAGUAUUUACUGUUAGUGGUAAGUCAGUAUGAAGUUAAUUGUGUAAAUUCUCUUUAUUUUUGUAAAACACUAUUUCCUUCUUCAUAACAUUCUUUAAGUUUUGUUUUUAUAUGAACUGGCUUUUCCACUUAGUCUUACAACUUGAACUUUACAGUUAUUCUAGGAAAUGCAACUUACAGAUUAUAUCACACUAUACUACCUUAAAAAGCUUAUGAAUUAUAUUUAUUCAAUAAUAAAACAUUGAAAUGAAGAAAGCUGUCACACUUUACUUUUAUACCAGGCUGAUAUCCCCAAAUGGUAUUAACAAAAGCAGGAUACCUUGCUUUGUCCCACUGCAGAGUUAUAACUACAGAGGAGAGAUCUAGUGUCCCUCACUGUCCCAUAUUCAUGACACGCAGGGAAUAAGGUAACAGUAUUCUUCCCACACAGUGGCAGGCAGAGCAGCAAGACUGUACCUUAGCCACAGGGAAGUCUCACUAUAUACAAGCUCUAAAAAUUAGCAUAUAAUUAUGCACAGGUACAUAGAAAUAGUGGUGUUAGUGUGUGUAGGCAAGGCAAGGAAUGUGAAGUGAGGGAAAUCAAGGUCCAUAUCUAAGGGAUUUUCAUUAAAUAUGAAAGAAUUAUAGUACAACAAUUCUUGGCAGUUUAGUUAGCAUUUUGAUUUUUGUAAGUUAAUUUUGUAUUUUCUCUCAUCAAAUUGCUCUCCAUUAUUCCUGUUUCAUGUAGCCUUCAAAACAAAAAAUGUUGAAUAUAAAGCAUUUCAGACUGCCAUAGUAACUGCUUGAAAUAUUGUAGUGUACAGAAUCAUGUCAAACCUACCAAGUUAUUAAGCUAAUGUGUAGGCCUAUCAUUCAAGUAAGCUGCUUUGAUGUACAGGCUAUGUCUGCAUUUGGUUCCUGGAAAACUUAUGAUUAGGCAGAAUGAUUAAUUAGGCAGAAUGAUUACAUAAUAUAUUAAUAAUCUAGAUAAAAUACAAUGCAUUCACUGAAACGCUAAACACCUCUAUAUGAAUCUUCAAAACCACAAUUUCUGGCUAGUGGAAUACAAAGACCCAUCUGUAAUAAAAUAUUUUAGUUUUGUUAGCUAUUUAUACAUUUUUAUAUGACUAGUGUUGUCGAGCACAUAAAUUAAUAUACAAUCACCAAUCAUGAAAAUACUAUAUAAUUUUAUGAACUAAUUAAUAGCUGCAUUGGCAACAAAUUUAUAUAAUAGUUAUCUUUUUACCAUCUACGAGAAUGUUCUGUCAUUUGAGUACUGGUGUAGAGGAAUACAGCAUUUUAUUAGUGACCCUUGUAUUCUUUCUUAUUAUUUCGUAUUUACUGUGAUGUAAUAAAAACUGUGCAGGCACUUGUAGACAAAACAGAAAGGAAGGAAAUAUUUGUGCUCACUGUCAUAACCUUUCUGAGCCACAUGAAUUUUGUUUAAAUUGUGUGGAAAGCUCCAAAAAUAGAAUAAUUAAGUUGUAUUGGUUAAGACUCUGAAAGAAAUAUUGUCACUCCUAAGAAGCUGCAGUCAUACAUGUAAAUUGCUAUUAAAUACAUAACUGAGA